rnacentral:rRNA from 1 species
AACGAACGCUGGCGGCAUGCCUAACACAUGCAAGUCGAACGAGACCUUCGGGUCUAGUGGCGCACGGGUGCGUAACGCGUGGGAACCUGCCCUUAGGUUCGGAAUAACUCCCCGAAAGGGGUGCUAAUACCGGAUAAUGUCUUCGGACCAAAGAUUUAUCGCCUUUGGAUGGGCCCGCGUUGGAUUAGCUAGUUGGUAGGGUAAAAGCCUACCAAGGCGACGAUCCAUAGCUGGUCUGAGAGGAUGAUCAGCCACACUGGGACUGAGACACGGCCCAGACUCCUACGGGAGGCAGCAGUGGGGAAUAUUGGAAAAUGGGAGAAAGCCUGAUCCAGCAAUGCCGCGUGAGUGAUGAAGGCCUUAGGGUUGUAAAGCUCUUUUACCCGGGAUGAUAAUGACAGUACCGGGAGAAUAAGCGCCGGCUAACUCCGUG